rnacentral:rRNA from 1 species
GACGAACGCUGGCGGCGUGCCUAACACAUGCAAGUCGAGCGAGGAGAUUCCUUCGGGAUGAUCCUAGCGGCGGACGGGUGAGUAACACGUGGGCAACCUGCCUCAUAGAGAGGAAUAGCCUUCCGAAAGGAAGAUUAAUACCUCAUAACAUUGCAGCUUCGCAUGGAGCCGCAAUUAAAGGAGCAAUCCGCUAUGAGAUGGGCCCGCGGCGCAUUAGCUAGUUGGUGAGGUAACGGCUCACCAAGGCGACGAUGCGUAGCCGACCUGAGAGGGUGAUCGGCCACAUUGGGACUGAGACACGGCCCAGACUCCUACGGGAGGCAGCAGUGGGGAAUAUUGCACAAUGGGGGAAACCCUGAUGCAGCAACGCCGCGUGAGUGAU